CUUGCCCGAGGAAGAAGGAGCGCAGGUAUGGUUUCUAUUCAGCUGGACCUCUUUGCUUCCAUACCAUUUUGUUAUGAUUUCUGGGUUUGCUAGUUUGUCUUCCUUUUAUUUAUCCUGAUGUAUGAAUGCAAGCAUUGUGGAUUUUAUUAUGUUCUUGGAUGUUCUCGGAUGUUUUGAGCCAGCAUGCCUUCAUUUUAUGGUUGAUUUUUAGCUUGGUUUUCAGUAUAUUUUCGGGGUUCUAUUUUGGCACUCAUGCUCUUGGAGAUGAAAAUCUCUGGUCCAGAAGCUCUCUACCAGCUUAUAUCAUGGAUGCCCCAGCAUCAGGCCACUGUUCAUCUGAACUGUUUUGGACCAUUUCUUGCAGAGAACGAUCCGAAAAGAAGUUGAGCUUGCUGCUGGUAUUCCCUGAUUGUACGCGAGGCUCGCAUGCAUGGCCACAUGAAGCAUUACACCUCCCACCUCCUCCAUCAUCCUCACCCAUUUUCUCUCCAAACUCUCCACCCCUUUCAUGUCUACCAGUCACCAUGCAUGCAAAACUAGACGUGGAAGCCAAGAUAGUUGAGCCGGGGAUGAAUGUUGGUCGCGAAGGCUACACAAAUGGCGGAGCUCCAAACGGUACGCGCCAAUGACGGCCACGCGUGGCCCCCGCGACGCCGGCGAUGGUGGCAUCCUCCUCACGGACGGCGGGUGCAGUGUCUUCUGAACUGCCGCCAGCACUCACGCCGCAGGUCUCCAUGCCGACGACGUCGGGACGAUCCCAACUUUGGUGGCCGCGGCGUCCAUGAUGGAUGUUCCUAGAUGGAAGGUGGCACCCAGGCGUAGAGGCAAAUUUUGUUAGAGAUUAAAGACCUGGGCUUCAUGAUAGUGGGUUUGGGCUUGGAUGAAAUCCAAGCCCAAUCUGAUGGUGAAUAAGUUUGGGUAUUCUUAUUGGUAGACGUGGGCUUGAGAUGAAGCCCAAGUCUAAGCUUGAUAUGAUGAGAGGUCCCUUGACUUGUCCAUCCACCUUAAGAUUGGCCCAUACCCAUUCAAAAGCCCCAGACCCAUUUCCAACCCUCAACAUUUUUUUUAAAGCCCAAAGCCCGUCCCAAAGUCCAUUUCCAACCCUUAAUAUUAUCUACUAUUAUUGUUAUUAUUAACUAUUAUUAUUAUUAUUAUUAUUAUUAUUAUUAUUAUUAUUAUUAUUAUUAUUAUUAUUAUUAUUAUUAUCAUUGUCAUUAUUAUUAUUAAUUCAAUUUUCCAAAUCUUAUUGUUGUUAUUAUUAUUAUUAUUAUUAAUCCAACUUUCAAAAUCUAGCUAUUAUUAUUGUUAUUAAUUCAACUUUCAAAAUCUUAUUAUUAUGAUUAUUAUUAUUAUUAUUAUUAUUAUUAUUAUUGUAAUUGUUAUCUUUAAUUCAACUUUUUUAAAAUAUCAUUAUCAUUAUUAUUAUUAAUUCAACUUUCAAAAUCGUGUUAUCAUUAUUAUUAUUAUUAUUAUUAUUAUUAUUAUUAUCAUUACUAUUUCAAAAUCUUAUUGUUAUUAUUAUCAUUAUUAUCACCCUAGGCCCUUUUAAUCCCAAAGCCCAAUUUGUUUCUAAUGCCCCAAGCCCAUUUCCAUAGCCUUUCUCACCAUGCACCACCCAGUCGCCCCAAGCCCACGAGCAAUCCUUGAGGUUCCUUCAACCUAAGCCCAUCCCUAAAGGCCCCAAUUCACGUAGCCUCUAUCCUGAACCCAUCUUCAAAGCCCAUUAUUUCUCCUUAUCAUUUCGUUCCCAUGCAUAUUCGUACCACGUUAUUCAUUUGUAUAUCUAUUCAUUCAUUCCAAUUUCCCAUUCUUAUCAUCAAGGUUUAAUCCUCCAUUAUUAUUUGCUUAUUUAUUUCUGAAAAUUCGAACUUUAAAUUUUAUCACUGUCAUUAUCGUCUUAUUCAUUUAUUUAUUCGUUUUUCUACAAAAAUUCAAUCUUUAAAAUGACACUUCAAAAUUCUAAUCUUUAAAAAUUUAACUUCAAUUUCCGAAAAUUCCUGUAUCCUCAUUAAUUUAUUUAAUCAUUAGUAUUCUAUUUAUUUAUUUUAAAAUUCCAUUUCGAAUCAAUUCUUAAAAACUUUUGAUUGCCGCAUUUAAUCUCCUAAUCCCGAAAAUUCCCAUACUCAUCUCAAUGUAUUUAAUCACUAAUAUUUCAUUCAUUUAUUUUAAAACUCCAUUUCAAAUCAAUUCUUUAAAACUUCCAAUUUCAAAAAAAUUCACAUUUACUUAUUUAAUUAUUACUUUCGUUCCAUUUUAAACAAUUCAUUAAAAUUUUGACUUCCAAUUUUAGUUUCUAAUUCCAAAAAUUCUAACAUUCACUUUAAUCUAUUUAAUUAUUAUUAUUUUAUUUAUUCUAAAAUUCUAUUUUAAACAAUUCAUUAAAAUUUCCACUUUCGAUUUUAAUUUCUAUAUCCAAAAAUUCCAAGAUUCGCAUUAAUUUAUUUAAUUAUUAUUAUUUUAUUUAUUUAUUCUAAAAUUCCAUUUUAAACAAUUCAUUAAAAUUUCCGACUUCUGAUUUUAAUUUCUAUGUCCAAAAAUUCCAAUAUUCACAUUAAUCUAUUUAAUUACUAUUAUUUUAUUCGUUUAUUCCAAAACUCCAUUGUAACUCAAAUUCUUUAAAACUUCUGAUUUCUGAAUUAAAUUUCUAAUCCCGAAAAUUCCUGUAUUCCCAAUAAUUUAUUUAAUUAUUAGUAUUUCAUUUAUCUAUUUAUUUCUUUUGAAUCAAAUUCUUUAAAACUUCAUAUUUAAAAAUUAAUUUUUUAAUCUUGAAAAUUUCCAUAUUCAUAUUAAUUUAUUUAAUCCUAAUAGUUUAUUUAUUUAUUUUAAAAUUCUAUUUUUAAACAAUUCUUUAAAAUUUUCAACUUCUGAAUUUAAUUUCCAAUUUCUAAAAUUCUAAUCCCUUCCAAAUUUGACAUCCAAAAAUUCCGAUUCUUAAAUUUAAUUCUGAACACUCCAAUUUUAAAAUAAACUCCAAGAAAAUCCAGUAUUCACUCGAAUAGUUUUUGUUCCAUUUCGAUUCUUAAAUAAAUUUCUGAUCUUCUUGAUUCUACAUAAGCAAAAAUGAAUUCUUCACAAAUCCAAAACACAAAAUUUAUAAGACUAAUUCAUGAACAAUAAACUGGGCUUUGUUGGGGGCCCUAUGUUUGAUCCCUUUUGACUGUCAAUUGUCGUGCUUAAUAUAUUUUGCUUGAUCUUCAUUUUGCACUCCGAUAUGCAUGAGCUAUAAUUUGUAUUCAUUAAUUGUGUACUAAUCUCAUUUCUUGAUAGCGCAUUGUGGCUCGUGGCCCAGGUACGCAUGCACCCUCAUUCUGAUACUUUACUAUACAUGUUUUGAUUCUCAUAUGUGCAUGAUCAUUCAGGAUAUUCAUUGAUUUACUCGUCAAUUGCCACAUCAGUUUCAUUUUACCAGUAGAGACCCGACUUAAGGGACUUAGAAGGGUGCUACGGUUUUUUUUUUUACCGUACCUUCCUGAUAAGUAACCUGACCCCCGAACCCGAUCCGGUUUUUCGCAAACCGUCUUUCCAAAACAAGGAGUCACACUUAGGGUUUUUCUUUCUUAUUUUGUUUACCCUUUAAAAAUAAAACAAAAAUAAGUGGCGACUCCAAGUCAUUUUUCUUAAUCAAUAAAAAUCAAUUUUUCAAAUUAAAAAUCGAGUUCGCCAUCGAGUGGGAAACGCAUUGAGCCGACAUGCGGGGUCCACAAAAUGACGACUCCACUGGGGAUUUUUAGAGGGUCAAGCUUGAACUUAAAGUGAAGCAAAUAUGGCGUUUGGUGAGUCGAUCAGUGGAUACUCAUCUCUUGAUUGCACAUUGAGAGUUCCCGAGUUUUCACUUGGGACAUUGGCAUGUUGAUCAUGUUAAUUGAUUAUUUUGAUUGGGGAUUCUGAUAUAGCUAGUUUCUUCAUGCUUCAUUGAUAUAUUUGUUUGAGAUAUUUGACAUGCUGAUUAUGUUGACUGAUUUGUCUUGAUUGAGGUUUCCAAUACCAUGAUUUUAUGUGCUUCAUUGAUAUUUUCGUUUGAGACAUAGACAUGUUGGAUUGUUGUUGAUUAAUCAUCUUAUAUUGCUUAGCACAUUGACUCCGAUUCUUGCCAUGAUUGUCCUGAUCACCUCACAUGCAUACACUCACCACUGUAUAUCAUUUGGUUGGACAUGUUGAUUCAUUUGCUUAUAUAUUCUCUUGAUCGUCUUUGAGUAGGAUAUUUAUAUCACUUUUUCAUCUGAUUGUCAUAGCUUGUAUGUGUGCAUGAGUGAUAUAUCUUGUACUCUACCUGACUGCAUGUCGCAUGACUACCUUUCCUCUACUUGAUUGCAUGUCGCGUGUUCAUGUGGGCCGCACUUCUAUCCCCUUACCUCCAAAUCUCUUGGUUUCGGUCAUUCCCUUCAUUCUGGUUCUCACUUUUGCAAGUGUGAGACCUUCUGUGUGUUCGCUUUCUAACCGAGCCAGAGAUUAGGAGUAGGGUCUAGCGAAGGGCUAUAUCAAUGCACGGGAGCAUUCUGGAGGAGAGCGACACUUUGAUGUCGAUUGGAGUCCGAUCAUUGAAGACCUAUAUAGCCCUGAGCUAGGUUCCAUGGAUAGUCAUGUGACCAGUGUGUUUCCUCUUCUGGUCUAGAUUCUUAGGGUUUUCGGAUGCACCCACACCAUUCACUGUGCACUCUAGUCGACCAUUGAGCGUUGAGAGUUUGAGAGGUUUCACCAUAGGAAACCCCCUGGGAUGUCGAGGUAGUGCAUGUGUGGAGGUGAUGCCCACCUUGCAUGGAAGCGCCCCGUCUCUUCGGAGGCGUGCAGAGGGUUGCGUACCACCGGAGGGUACGAUCGCUUCUGUUAGGGAUCUUUUAAAGUCCACCUAUCUCCUUUUAGAGCCACCUUGACCUUAUAGUUUGAGCCUUAGACAUUUCAAUUAGAAUUUUCCCUUCCCGAACACGCGGGUGCAUCCGUGGGCCUUCAGAGUCGGUUCAGUAGUGACAGGUUUAGUUACCUUCGCAGUAGUCUCUUAUAUAUCUGCUCAGGAUUGGAUAUCAGUUUGGUUGCUUCCGGGCUACUUUUCGACACAUUUGAUAGACAUGCUUUGUGAGGUUUCCCUUACCCCGUAUCUUAUCUAGUAUUUCCACUAUUGUAGGAGUAUCGAUACGUUCAGUCUGGGUUUGACUUCUUGGGUCAGAGUUGAGGGUAGAUUGAUCAGGGUAUCGGACCAGUCAGACUAGAGAUCAGAUCAGAGAGAUAUGGAUUCAUAGAUAGUUACCGUCGAUCAGUUUGGUGAGGCCAUGGCUUCGAUUCAGGAAGCUAUAGCUAGCCUCGGUCGGAGGAUAGAUGGGCAGCAGGUCCCGUCCUAGGAUGGUGCCCAGUAUGACCCUACAAAGCCACCACCUCCUCCACCCAGUCAGUCAGCGCCACAGGCCAUGCCGUUCACUCUGCAUAGUCAGACCGGGGUUGCCUCGCCUCCCAUCACCGUGCCCACCCCGACCUCAGAGGACCCACAUGCUCGCAUGGAUAGGCUUGAGCAGGGUUUGAGACAGUUGAGGACUUCAGACAGAGCCACUACUUGGGAGGGUUUUGAUGGAGUGCCGGUAGCCAGCUUGCCGUCUAAGUUUAGGAUGCCUAACAUUGAGAGGUAUACUGGCAUUGGUUGUCCACGCCUCCAUCUCCGAUUAUACAGCACCGUGAUGAGGGCUCAUGGACUGGACGAGCCUCAGAUGAUUACUCUUUUCCCACUAUCUUUAAGUGGGGUGGCCCAACGUUGGUUUGCAUCUCUGGAGGCCUCGAGACGCCGCACAUGGGACGACUUGGCCCAGGAGUUCCUACGACAGUUUUCGUUUAACACUGUCGUAGAUGUAUCGAGGAGGGAGCUCGAAGCUUUGAGACAGAGGGCGGAGGAGUCUGUUUCUUCUUUCAUUUCCCGCUGGCGCGGGAAGAUAGCUGAGAUUAUCGAUAGACCAUCAGAGAGGGACCAGAUUCAGAUGGUUUUGAGGAGCCUGCAGUCGCGGAUCGCCAAACAUGUGGUAGGGGCCCCGUUCACAGAUUUUGGGUCUCUGGUUAUGGCUCUGUAUGAUGUCGAGGACGGCAUCUCGAGAGGUUUAUGGACAGAUUCUUCCCCUAGUGAUGUUAAGGGGAAGAAACCAUUCGUAGGACCGAGGCCAGCAGAUGUGAGCGCUAUCAGUUCUUCCAGUCAAAGGCCUCUCAGGCGCCAUCAGCCGAUCUCAUAGUUUUUCGAGCCUCAUUCGUCCUAUGCAUCUCCUCAGUACAGGCCACAGACACCUUGUCCAGCUGACGAUCAGACGUACAUGUCACAGACAUUGGUUUUACCUCCUUGUGCCACUCAAGGCAUUGAGAGACCUGCGGUCUCCUACACGGCCGUAGGGCAGCCAUGCUACGCUGCUCAGUUCACCGCGAGACCUGCGGCGCCUUAUCCUCGACCUGGAGCUCAGCAGGCCUCUACUCCCUUUGCUUUGAGGACGUAGAGACAGUUCUCACAGAUAGGCGUGCCGUUGAGCCAGGCUCUUCAGAAGCUCACAGAGGCCGGUUUGUUGACUGCACUCACUCCGAGACCGCCCCCUCAGCCUCUACCUCCUCACUUCAGGACAAAUUUGUGUUGUGCCUAUCAUCAGGGGUCAGGACAUGAGACUGAUCAAUGCACCGCGCUGAGGCACGCCAUCCAGGACUUGAUUGAUCAGGGUUUGGUUCACUUGGGUCAGCCAAGUGUAACCCAAAACCCACUACCGGCCCAUACCACGCAUGCAGUUCCUCCACCAGACGGAGGUAUUCAUUUCUUGGAUUUUGUUGAUUCUGAUGACCAUGUCUGCACGAUGAGCUGGGACGACAUGGAUCCAGAGCCCAUAGAGUUGGAUGAUAUUUAUGAGAUGAGCAGCAUGUCUUUGGGGCCUCAGGUGCCCACUCACUUCAGAUUAUUUCCUGAGACAGCCUCAGUACAUGCGUCCAUUGUCGAGCCUCCGACUUCCACGCGCUAUAGUGUUCAGACGCCGUUCGUUUUAGUCCCAGAUGUUGAGGAGUUUCAGGCUCCACACAGGGAUGAUCCUCAGACUCCAGACGUUCAGUAUAUCCUCCGGGGAGGGAGAGUAUUGAGACAGCCACCUCUAACCGCUGCCGUUAGACCCUUAGGGGGUACGUCAUCCCAGGAGGAGGUCAGAGCAGAGGAUGACGAGAUUUUGAGGCAAUUGCAGAGCACUCAGGCUCGUAUUUCUAUCUGGAGCCUCUUAACGUCAUUUAGUACUCAUCGGGAUGCACUGACUCGAGCUUUGAGCCAGAUCAGAGUUGAUACCACGACCACUCCCGAGGGACUCAUUCAUAUGAUGACGGCUAGCAGAGCCACUUGUAUCGUCUUUUCCGAUGACGACUUGUCGCUAGAGGGUUCAGACCACACACGUCCUCUUUAUGUAUCUGUUGGCUGUUCAGGUCGUCGAGUUCCAUCUGUCCUUCUGGACAAUGGCUCGGCCCUGAACGUAUGUCCUCUGGCCACCGCCAUCACUCUUGGGUACGCACCAUCCAAUUUCGGUCCAUCCACUCAGACCGUUCAAGCUUAUGACAGCACCCGUAGAGAGGUCAUGGGUACACUGGAGAUUGAGCUCCUGAUAGGUCCUACCACAUUUAUCACUAUCUUUCAGGUUUUGAGGAUUCCUACAUCCUUUAACCUACUUUUGGGCCGACCGUGGAUUCACCGAGCUGGAGUCAUUCCUUCUUCACUUCAUCAGAAAGUGAAGUUCAUCCAUGAGGGCCAGGUAGUCGCCGUACAGUCGGCAGGGGACAUGUUCAUUUCCGCUGAGCCCAUGCUCCAGAUCAGCCAUAGCGACGACGACUUACUGCUGACCGGGUUCACUUUUGAUGAGGUACAGACUCUUGAGCUAGAGGACUUUUGCCGAGACUUCGUCGCUAUGUCCUUUGACCAGCAUGGCAGCACUGUAGUGCUUGAUAUGAUGAGAGACAUGUCCUAUCUUCCUGGCAUGGGAUUGGGUCGACGUCAGCAUGGACCGAGCGAGUUCAUCACCAUUCCUGAUCAUGACGUACCAUUCGGACUCGGGUUCAUCCCCAUUGAGGCCGAUUAUCUCUAUAUGGCGCGCUUGCGCAAGGAGAGAGUGAGGGCUCGGCUGACUCAUAUGUCUUUCUAUUAUCCUGUGCGCCCGUACACUAGGAGCCUAGCAGAUUACUUUGUGAGAGCAUCGGAGCCGCAUGCAUCAUCCGAUGGGAUCAUCAGAGGACUUAGCACCACCCAGGAGGUCGAGCUUCAGCGCCUCGUCCAGUAGUUACGAUUGAGAGACGGAGCCCCUGGCCCUUCGACUUCUGCGUUGAUCGCUCAUUCCUCUCCAGAUCGCACUAGCCUUAUGACGCUUUGCUUCCCGGACGAGACCGAUGAGCAUGGGACCUUUGCUGUGGUCGGGGACAUAGUAGACGGAGUCGCCCCACAUGACGAGUACAUCGACGAGAUGCUCGCCCUGAGCCUGAGCCAGAUUGAGGAGACUAUUUAGCCUGGGCUUGCUUCAUCAUUUGAUCUCUUCGGGGUAUUCACCAUUGAGCUUGCCAAGGAGAGCUUGACUGCCCCUGCUCUGGAGUCUGCUGAGGACCUUAUAGCUUUUGAUGAUUUGAUUGAUAGCCAUGUUGGCAUUGUUGAGGGAGCGUCCGACUUUGUGGACCCACCUCUUUCAUUUGACGUUCUGUCGGGGUUCGUCUCCCGUUCUGACGUUGUUUUCGAUGAUCCAUCUAUUGAUUUGAGCAUGUUUGAGUAUUUGCCUGCGUCUCGUGAUAUUGCUUUACUUAUACCAUCUUCACCCACAUCACAGAUAUUUGACAUAGAUGAUGAUAUUGCACAGCAUGAUUCAGAUGAUGACUCAUCUCCCGAUUCCGAUUCAGACCCCGUUGGAUUUGUCUACAAAUGAGAGAGAUAGCCUCAUCCAUCUGCUCAGAUCUUACUUGGAUGUUUUCGCAUGGUCCUAUGAGGACAUGCCAGGCCUUGAUCCAUCUAUCGUCCAGCAUCGUUUGCCACUUCUACCCCAUGCUAGACCGGUUAAGCAGAAGUUGAGACUAUUGCACCCUCGUUGGAGCUUGCAGGUGAAAGAAGAGAUCCAGAAGCAGCUCAGUGUAGGAUUCUUAUCAGUGGUCGAGUACCCGGAGUGGCUGGCCAAUGUCGCCUCUGUUCCCAAAAAGGACGGCAAGGUGAGAGUCUGCGUUGAUUUUCGAGAUCUCAACAAGGCCAGUCCUAAGGAUGAUUUUCCUCUUCCACACAUCGACAUGCUAGUUGACAAUACGGCAGGUCAUUCGAUGUUGUCUUUUAUGGACGGAUUUUUCGGGUACAGUUAGAUCUUGAUGGCUCUAGAUGACAUGGAGAAGACGUCCUUCAUUACCGAGUGGGGCACUUAUUGCUACAGAGUCAUGCCAUUCGAAUUGAAGAACGUAGGAGCCACCUAUCAGAGAGCGGCGACCACCCUUUUCCAUGACAUGAUGCAUCAGGAUGUCGAGGUUUAUGUAGACGACAUGAUAGUGAAAUCCCGAGGCAGACCAGAUCACUUGGCAGCUCUGGAGAGGUUCUUUGAGAGGAUCCGACAGUUCAGAUUGAGGUUGAAUCCUAAGAAGUGCACUUUCGGAGUGACUUCUGGGAAACUCUUAGGAUAUAUGGUCAGUGAGCGAGGCAUAGAGGUAGAUCCAGAUAAGAUCAGAGCCAUCCUGGGCAUGCCUGCACCGAGGACAGAGAAAGAGGUUAGAGGCUUCUUAGGUAGACUUCAGUACAUCAGCAGAUUCAUCGCUAGAUUGACAGACAUCUGUAAGCCCAUUUUUCGACUCUUGAGGAAGAGUCAACCUACUAUUUGGGAUGAUCAGUGUCAGCGCGCAUUCGAGAGGAUCCGAGAGUACUUGUUGUCACCCCUAGUCUUGGCGCCUCCUACACCAGGCCGUCCUUUACUCCUAUAUCUAUCAGUUUCUGAUGUGGCGUUGGGGUGCAUGUUGGCUCAGCUUGAUGAUUCGGGCAAGGAUCAGGCCAUUUAUUAUCUGAGUAAGAGGAUGCUAGACUACGAGACGAGAUAUGUUAUGAUCGAGCGCUAUUGCUUGGCUUUGGUUUGGGCCACUCGCCGACUGAGACAUUACAUGACCGAGUAUUCAGUGCACUUGAUAUCCCGUCUAGAUCCUUUGAGAUAUUUGUUUGAUAGGCCUGCCCUGGUCGGUCGCCUCAUGAGAUGGUUGGUACUUCUGACUGAGUUUGACAUUCAUUAUGUCACUCAGAAGUCUAUCAGAGGUAGCAUUGUCGCGGAUCAUCUAGCUUCUUUACCGGUUUUCGAUGGCAGGGCCAUUGAUGACGACUUCCCGGACGAGGAUGUCGCUACUGUGACUAGUCUGUCAGGUUGGCACAUGUACUUUGAUGGUGCGGCCAACCAUUCUGGAUACGGGAUAAGCGUCCUGUUGAUAUCCCCUCAUGGUGAUCACAUUCCCAGAUCUAUUCGUUUGGCAUUCUCGGAUCGACAUCUUGCCACGAACAACAUUGUUGAGUAUGAGGCUUGUAUCUUGGGAUUAGAGACAGCCCUCGAGCUCGGGAUUAGACAGAUGGAGGUGUUUGGUGACUCCAAUCUGGUGUUGAGACAGAUUCAGGGCGAGUGGAAGACUAGAGAUGGGAAGCUUAGACCUUAUCAAGCAUAUUUGGCGCUAUUGGUCGCGAGAUUCGAGGAUUUGAGAUACACACAUCUGCCUAGAGUGCGGAACCAGUUUGCUGAUGCCUUAGCUACUCUAGCUUCCAUGAUUGACAUUCCUGCUGAUGCCACUGUUCGUCCAUUGUUGAUCGAGUCGAGAUCUGCUCCUACUUACUGUUGUCUGAUCGAUAAUGUAGAGCCAGAUGAUGGUUUGCCAUGGUAUCACGACAUAUAUCACUUUUUGAGGCUUGGCGUAUAUCCUGAGGCCACUACGACCAAGGAUAGGAGAGCAUUGAGACAGUUAGUCGCCCGAUUCGUGAUUUGCGGCGAGACACUAUAUAAACGAUCACCUGAUGGGAUGCUGCUAUUGUGUUUGGACCACGCCUCUGCCGAUAGAGUGAUGCGAGAGGUUCAUGCGGGAGUAUGCGGACCACAUAUGGGAGGACAUAUGUUGGCCCGUAAGAUCAUGAGGACCGGCUACUUCUAGUUGACCAUGGAGACGGAUUGCUGCCAGUUCGUUCAGAGAUGUCCCGAGUGUCAGAUACAUGGAGAUCUCUUUCACGUGCCACCCUCCGAGUUACAUGUACUGACUUCACCAUGGCCAUUUUCAGUGUGGGGUAUCGAUAUCAUCUGGAAGAUUUCGCCGAAAUCUUCCAAUGGUCAUGAGUUUAUCCUUGUUGCUAUUGAUUACUUCACCAAGUGGGUGGAGGCCGCUUCGUAUGCGAGAUUGACAUCGUCUGGAGUUGCUAGUUUCAUCAGAUCACACAUUAUUUGUCGCUAUGGAGUCCCUCAUGAGUUGAUGUCGGAUAGAGGGGUACAUUUCAGGGCAGAGGUUGACACCUUGGUGCAGCGAUAUAGCAUCCGACAUCAUAGGUCGUCUGCGUACAGGCCGCAGACGAACGGGGCAGUAGAGGCCGCGAAUAAGAAUAUUAAGAGGAUAUUACGGAGGAUGGUCGAGACUUCUCGGGAUUGGUCAGAGAAGCUCCCAUUUGCAUUGUGGGCUUAUCGGACCUCUUUUCGCACCUCUACAGGCGCCACUCCCUACUCAUUGGUAUAUGGCAUGGAGGCGGUGCUACCCGUUGAGAUCGAGAUGGGUUCGUUGAGGGUAGUAUUAGAGCAGCAGAUUCCCGAGACAGAUUGGGCUCAGGCUAGAUUUGAUCAGCUCAAUCUCCUAGAUGAGAGGAGAUUGAGAGCAGCAGACCAUGUUCGUGCAUAUCAGAGGAAGAUGGCUCGCGCUUUCAAAAAGUGGGUCAGACCCAGACCAUUACAGAUAGGUGACUUGGUUCUGAAAGUCAUCAAGGGAUUGAUCAGAGAUCCUAGAGGGAAGUUCAGACCCAACUGGAGCGGACCUUAUUUCAUCAAGGAGUUGACCCCAAAGGGCGCUGCAUGGCUGAUGGAUUUAGACGGAAACCGAUUCUCAGAGCCAACCAUGUAGAUCAGCUAAAAAGGUACUAUGUUUGAGACCAUGGUUGCAGGAUGGGUGGCCAUCAUUUCGGUUAGCCAUUACCUUGUUAUUCCUUUGUGAUACAUAGUCCGUUGCUAGCCCAUUGAGCCUCACAUGCGUAUUAUAGCUUUUCUUUCUUAUCGCCUUGCUCACAUUUUCACACCGGGAUAGGGGCCCUUUAAUGUAUGCAUGCAUUGUUUGGGAGUUUCAUGAGCCUUGGACCUAGGGGCAUGUUUUUCUCAUUAUCUUUUCCUAUCAUUGCACCUCUGCAUUUUCAUCUCAUUUUAUUGAUUAUGUUAUUCAUCUCUUCUUCCUUAUCCUAUCUACUAUUUGUUUGUUUCAUAUUUCUCUUCACCCUGGAUGGUGAUCCUCCUCAGUUCAUCACAUGGAGGAUAGUCACAUCAUUUCCACCAUCUAUCUCGCGGACACUGGUUUAGAGAUCCUUAGUUUGAGAAGGUCAUCUUGUCAGAAAGUUUGUUUGUUAUCUUAGCACUUGGGGGUGUGUCCAUUUGUUAUUGAUAUCAUCUUAGGGGUUCAUUUGUUCACGUUCAGGGUACGCGUAUUUGCAAAAAAAACAAAAAAAAAAAACAAAAAAAAGAAAAAAAAAAAAAAGAAAAAAACAAAAAAAAAACAAAAAAAAAACAAAAAAAAAAUCAUUAUUAUUAUUAUUAUUAGCACAUGUGUGUAUGUGCAUAGUGUUCUCGAUCAUUGAGUAUGUAUAUUGAUGUCUGUGGGUCAUUUUUAUCGAGUAUGUUCGUUAUUGGGAGUUCGUAUGUGAGCUCUCUGAGAUCCCAUGUUAUUUGUAUUGCUUCGUCAUAUCUAUUUGUGGGAGAAAUGAGUGACCUUCUCCUAAGGACUCUGAGUCAUUGUCCUUUCCAUCAUUACAUUCAUUAUUGAUGUGACUUCACUUCAUGUUUGAUCUGAGCCGAUCACCACCUUUCUUCACAUAUUCGUUGUUUCGCUGUCGCUUUUAUCGUUGCUUGUGAUUCAUCUCAUUCCCUUCACGUCUUAUUCUCUCCUUACAGCGACCCAUCUCGGGUUCGAUGCUCACUUCGCAUCAUCAUUACACAUAUCACUAUCAAUUCAUUUUGCUUCAUUUGUCUCCUUAUCGAUAUCAUAUUUACAUUAGGCAUCCUCAGGUCCAUGGCUCAUGGGGUUCACUAUACAUGUUGCAUUUCAUAUAUGACGGCAUGAGUUUUGAUCAUUGGGUAUUUAAGCCUAGUUUUCUUUCGUUUCUAUCACCCUAUCACCUUGGCCUACGUUACGUCCCGUGUCUUAAGACCACCCUGAGGCCAUGGGAUCAGAUGUCGUCUUUGGCAGCCUCUACUUGGACAGGUGAUUGAGAUCUGGUUGAUAUUUAGAUAUUGUCAUGCUUCUUCUUCUGGGAGUCGCCCAUUUGAUGUGUAGGAUUGAUUCAGUUGUGUUCGGAUUAUCAGGAUCGUGAGUUUGACGAUGAUUGACUUGGUGUCACCUGAUUUUUUUUACCUAUCGUACCUCUGGUGCCACACUGCGGCACAUCCCAUUUCAUUCGGAGGUUUGUGGAUCCUCACAGAUUUGUACGAUCAUUAUCACUUACUGGAUGCUCUCUGAGACGUGGACAUGGUCGUUACCUUACGGAGCCCCUGAGAUCCAUCCAGCUAGUUCCGCACUUCUCGACGCUUGGAUGCCAUCAUGCCUCUCCAUCUGGGAGGUCAUCUUGGAUACAUGUGCAUGAUUCAGUUAUGGAUUCGGAUGACCAGUAUUACAUAUUCAACGAUAGAUGACUUCAUGUCAUGUUGUUCUUCGGGCCUGUCGCGCACCUGAUGCCAUACUGGGGCAUAUUUUCCGUUUCAGAUGAGAUUUAUGGAUCUUCACUUAUGUCGCAUGAUCGAUGAUAGUUGAUUUAAUGUCGCUCGAUUUUCGACCUGUCGUGCAUCCGAUGCCCAUACUGAGGCAUAUUUUCCAUUUCAGAUGUGAUUUACGGAUCUUCACUUAUGUCGCAUGUUCGACGAUAGAUGGUUUCGUGCCACCUAGUUUCUAACCUGUCGUGCAUCCGAUGCCAUACUGGGGCAUAUUUCCGUUUCGGAUGAGAUUUACGGAUCUUCACGGAGGUCACGUGCUAGACGAUAGAUGAUUUCAUGACACUUGUUCUUUUGACCUGUCACACAUCUGAUGCCAUACUGGGGCAUAUUUCCGUUUCGGAUGAGAUUUACGGAUCUUCACGGAGGUCACGUGCUCGACGAUAGAUGAUUUCAUGUCACUUUUUCUUUUGACCCGUCCCACAUCCGAUGCCAUACUGGGGCAUAUUUCCGUUUCGGAUGAGAUUUACGGAUCUUCACGGAGGUCAUGUGCUCAACGAUAAAUGAUUUCAUGUCGCUUUUUCUUUUGACCCGUCCCACAUCCGAUGCCAUACUGGGGCAUAUUUCCGUUUCGGAUGAGAUUUACGGAUCUUCACGAAGGUCACGUGCUCGACAAUAGAUGAUUUCAUGUCGCUUUUUCUUUUGACCCGUCCCACAUUUGAUGCCAUACUGGGGGCAUAUUUCCGUUUUGGGUGAGAUUUACGGAUCUUCACGGAGGUACAUGCUCGAUGAUAGAUGAUUUCAUGUCGGCCGAUUUCUGACUUGUCAUACGUUCGAUGCCAUACUGGGGCAUAUUACCGUUCUGGAUGAGACUUACGGAUCUUCAUGGAGUUGCAUGCUCAUCCCCACUUACGAGAUACACAUGGACACGAUGUUUUCUCCAUGGAGCCUCUCGGGAGUUACCCAGUUAGGCCUGCACUUCGCGACGCCUCGAUGUCAUCAUGCUUUCCUUCCGGGAGACGCCUCUUUUGAUCUAUGGGUCUGAUUCAGUUGUACACGUGGAUGAUUUGGAUCGCGCAUUCGAUGACGGGUGAUCUGAGCUCAUUUGGUUCUUCUGACCUAUCACACAUCCGAUGUCAUACUAGGGCAUACCCCCACCCUUGAGUCCACCAGAUAUUUUGCGAUUAUUCUCAUCACUUGAUCCACAUCUGGAUCUUUGCGAGUCGUCAUACUGGGGCAUACCCCCUUUAGCGUUUUUCGUUUGAGGCAACCCCCCACUGUCAUUUCGUUUGGGGCAACCCCCCGCUGUCAUUUUCGUUUGGGGCAUCCCCCACUGUCAUUUUCGUUUGGGGCAUCCUCCCACUGUCAUUUCGUUUGGGGCAUCCCCCCACUGUCAUCUUCGUUUGGGGCAUCCCUCCGCUGUCAUUUUCGUUUGGGGCAUCCCCCCAUUGUCAUUUACGCUUGGGGCAUCCCCCCACUGUCAUUUUCGUUUGGGGCAUCCCCCCACCGUCAUCUUCGUUUGGGGCAUCCCCCCGCUGUCAUUUUCGUUUGGGGCAUCCCCCCACUGUCUUUUCGUUUGGGGCAUCCCCCCACUGUCUUUUCGUUUAGGGCAUCCCCCUACUGUCAUUGCUUAGGGCAUCCCCCUAUUUUCAGUUUGUUUAGUUUGUUUAGGGCAUCCCCCUUUGUUUCGGAUUUACCACCACCAUAGAUUUUCAUCUAUGGGCAUUUCGGUUAUUUCACCACCAUAGAUUUUCAUCUAUGGGCAUUUUUAUUGUGUCACCACCAUACAUCGGGCAUCUAUGGGCUUUGUUUCAGUUUAUCACCACCAUAGAUUUUCAUCUAUGGGCAUUUCGGUUAUUUCACCACCAUGGAUUUUCAUCCUUGGGCUUUCGGGAUUUUCACCACCAUAGAUUUUCAUCUAUGGACUUUGAUCAGUUUUUCACCAUCAUAGAUCAGACAUCUAUGGGCUUUGUUUCAGUUAUAUCACCACCAUGGAUCAGACAUCUAUGGGCUUUGAUCAGUUUUUCACCCUCAUAGAUUUUCAUCUAUGAGCAUUUAUUUCAGUUAUUUCACCACCAUGGAUUUUCAUCCUUGGGCUUCCGAGAUUAUCACCACCAUAGAUCAGACAUCUAUGGGCUUUGAUCAGUUUUUCACCAUCAUAGAUUUUCAUCUAUGAGCAUUUAUUUCAGUUAUUUCACCACCAUGGAUUUUCAUCCUUGGGCUUCCGAGAUUAUCACUACCAUAGAUCAGACAUCUAUGGGCUUUGCUCAGUUUAUCACCACCAUGGAUUUUCAUCCUUGGGCUUUCAGUUAUUUCACCACCAUAGAUCGGGCAUCUAUGGACAUUUUUAUUAUAUCACCACCGUAGGUCUUCACCUAUGAGCCUUCCAGUUUAGCUUUUAGAGUUAGCUUUUUGGUUUGGCUUCCAGAGCUGUUAUUUCCUAGUUUAGCUUUUAGAGUUAGCUCUUUGGUUUGGCUUCCAGAGCUGUUACUUUCUAGUUUAGCUCUUUGGUUUGGCUUCCAGAGCUGUUAUUUUCUAGUUUAGCUUUUAGAGUUAGCUUUUUGGUUUGGCUUCCAGAGCUGUUAUUUUCUAGUUUAGCUUUUAGAGUUAGCUCUUUGGUUUGGCUUCCAGAGCUAUUACUUUCUAGUUUAGCUUUUUGGUUUGGCUUCCAGAGCUGUUACUUUAUAGUUUAGCUUUUUGGUUUGGCUUCCAGAGCUGUUAUUUCCUCGUUUAGCUUUUAGAGUUAGUUUUUUUUGUUUGGCUUCCAGAGCCAUUAUUCUUCCAAUUUAGUGUUUAGAGUUAGCUUUUUGAUUUGGCUUCCAAAACUAUUAUUUUCUCAGUUUCGGCGUUUAGAGCCAUCAUCACUUUUUAGUUUCGGCGUUCAGAGCCAUCACCGUGUUUUCAGUUCGAUGUUUAGAGCCAUCAUUGGUUUUCAGAUCGACAUUCAGAGUCGCAUCCUCGGUUUCGACGUUUAGAGUCGUUAUCACUUCUCAGUUUGACGUUCAGAGUCAUCAUCAUCACUUUUUAGUUUCGCGUUCAGAGUCAUCACUGUGUUUUCAGUUCGGUGUUCAGAGCCAUCAUUGGUUUUCAGAUCGACAUUCAGAGUCGCAUCCUCGGUUUCGACAUUUAGAGUCGUUAUCACUUCUCAGUUUGACGUUCAGAGUCAUCAUCAUCACUUCUCAACUGCGGCGUUCAGAGCCAUCAUCACUUCUUAGUUUUGGCGUUCAGAGCCAUCACCGUGUUUUCAAUUCAGCGUUCAGAGCCAUCAUCGGUUUUCAGAUCGACAUUCGGAGUCGCUUCUCAGUUUCGGCGUUCAGAGUCAUCAUCGUCACUUCUCGGUUUCGGCGUUCAGAGCCAUCAUUACUUUUUAGUUUCGGCGUUCAAAGCCAUCACCGUGUUUUCAGUUUGGUGUUCAGAGCCAUCAUUGGUUUUCAGAUCGACAUUCAGAGUCGCACCCUCGGUUUCGACGUUUAGAGUCGUUAUCACUUCUCAGUUUGACGUUCAGAGUCAUCAUCAUCACUUCUCGACUUCGGCAUUUAGAGCCAUCAUCACUUUUUAGUUUCAGCAUUCAGAGCCAUCACCGUAUUUUCAGUUCGGCGUUCAGAGCCAUCAACGGUUUUCAGAUCGACAUUCGGAGUCGCUUCUCAGUUUGACGUUCAGAGUCAUCAUCGUCACUUCUCGAUUUCAGCGUUUAGAGUCAUCAUCGCUUCUCAACAUCAGCGUUCAGAGCCAUCACUAUUUUCAGUUUGGCGUGCAGAGCCUUCAUCACUUCUCAGUUUUUGCGUUCAGAGCCAUCAUCGCUUUUCAGUUUUGGCGUUCAGAGCCAUCACUAUUUUCAGUUUUGGCGUUCAGAGCCAUCAUCGCUUUUCAGUAUUGGUGUUCCGAGCCAUCAUUAUUUUCAGUUUGGCGUUCAGACCCAUCAUCACUAUUUUCAGUGUGGCAUUCAUAGCCAUCACUAUUUUCAGUUUGGCGUUCAUCAUCACUUCUCAGUCAACGUUCAGAGCCAUCGACAUUUCCUGUCUCGGCGUUCGGAGCCAUCAUCACUCAUCCGUUUCGACGUUUAGAGCCAUCACCAUUUCCAGUUUCGACGGUCAAAUCCAUCGUCAUUCUCUGUUUCGACGUUCAGAGUCAUCAUCGCUCCUCCGUUUCGAUGUUCAUCUAUUUUCAAUUUCGUUGUUCAGAGCCACCACCUCUUUCCAGUUUGGCAUUCAGAGCCACAUUUGCAUUUAGGCGUUUAGAGCCGUUAGUCAUUCUCGGUGUGAUGCUCGAAGUCGUACUCUCAUAUCCACAUCCACAGUCAUCACCAUUUUUUCUUUAGCUUUGGCAUUUAGAGCCACUUUUCAUACCCAUUCAUGUUUCAUACCCAUUCAUGCAUUUUGAUCCACUAUCUUUAGUUUUUGGCGUUCAAAGCCAUCCUUCAUGCCCACUCAUGCGUUUUAGAGUCACUUUCUCUCUUAGUUUUGGCGUUCGGAGCCAUUUUUCAUACUCAUUCAGGCAUUCGAUGCCACCAUCUUUCUUUAGUUUGGCGUCCAGAGCCAUUAUACAUAUCCCUUCAGGCACCUUGAGUCAUCACCUUUUCGUGUUUUGACCUUUGGAGUCAUUUCUCCUCAGCCUUGUCAUUCAAAGUCCACAUUCAUGUUCACCGGCAUUGCACAUCUUACCUUCAUGGCUUUGUGUUCGUCCUUGGUUUUUCCUCACCUUGUCACCUUGUGCUUAUCACUUAUUCAUUAUGCUCUUCUAGUUUUCCCCUCCUUUUACCUUCAGUUCGUCUAGGGCAUUCCCCACUUUCAGUAUGCCUAGGGCAUUCCCCUACUUUUAGUUUAUUUAGGGCAUCCCCCUAUUGUUAGUUCACUUAUGAGAUUUCUAGUCUAGCAUUUUAGAGUUAGCUUUUUGGGUUUGGCUUCCAGAGCCAUUAUUUUCUCAGGUUAGCAUUUAGGGUCAGUCUUGUCUUUCAGAGCCACAGUUCCUGACAUUUAUGAUCACUAGCGUUACAUGCUUCAUUCUCACAGUUUCAUGUUUCAUCUUGCUCCCCUGAGUUGCAUAUGUGCUUCUCACUUCGCUGUGAUAUUCUAGAGUUUCCUCUCGUCUUUUGUGCAGGAUAUAGUUCUAUGAGCUCGUGCCAUGUGCCUUGAUUGUAUUGUAAGAUACUCCACGCCUUGUGUCCUCCUGUGAUACACGCAUGUUUCAUUCCCUUUGGUCACGUCCUCCCCUGUGCUCUAGGGUGGUCCGAUCGUUGCCCACUUCGACAUUGGUUCUUCGAGUCACCUGUAGAGACGUCUUAGAGGGGGUCUGGGUCCUCGAUGCAGCUUUAGAGGCGCCUUGAGCCUCUUAGAAUUUUAGAGCCUCGAGUGAGAGUGUGUUCUACUUGUACCUUUCGGGUUCGGGGGUCUUUCUUUGUUCUUCGAUAGAGUUCACUUCAUUUCACUCACUUUUCACACUUUCUUUUCAUUCCAGUAUUCAUAUUCCUUGCACUCGUGAACUCUACCGAAGAGGGGCAUAUUUGUAGACCCCCUCAGCUGGGGGGCAUUGGUUGUUUUUUAUUUUUAUUUUUAUUCAUUUUUUUCUUCUUCUUUUCUGCUUUUUUAUCCAGCCAAGGACGGCUGGAAGUGAAAGGAGGGAGAAGGAGCUAUCCUUAGGCGGCUGUAGGGGACAUGUAGCAGCAGGCAGGAUGGCUUGCUGAGGAAGAUACAAACAGAGAAAAAAAAAAAAGAAAAGGGGAGAUCUGGGGGGGGGGGAGAAAAAGAAGAGGGAGAGAAGGCGCUGCAGGUGGCGAGGGGAUUUUCCGAGAGAGGAGCUUGCCCGAGGAAGAAAGAGCGCAGGUAUGGUUUCUAUUCAGCUGGACCUCUUUGCUUCCAUACCAUUUUGUUAUGAUUUCUGGGUUUGCUAGUUUGUCUUCCUUUUAUUUAUCCUGAUGUAUGAAUGCGAGCAUUGUGGAUUUUAUUAUGUUCUUGGAUGUUCUCGGAUGUUUUGAGCCAGCAUGCCUUCAUUUUAUGGUUGAUUUUUAGCUUGGUUUUCAGUAUAUUUUCGGGGUUCUAUUUUGGCACUCAUGCUCUUGGAGAUGAAAAUCUCUGGUCCAGAAGCUCUCUACCAGCUUAUAUCAUGGAUGCCCCAGCAUCAGGUCACUGUUCAUCUGGACUGUUUUGGACCAUUUCUUGCAGAGAACGAUCCGGAAAGAAGUUGAGCUUGCUGCUGGUAUUCCCUGAUUGUACGCGAGGCUCGCAUGCAUGGCCACAUGAAGCAUUACACCUCCCACCUCCUCCAUCAUCCUCACCCAUUUUCUCUCCAAACUCUCCACCCCUUUCAUGUCUACCAGUCACCAUGCAUGCAAAACUAGACGUGGAAGCCAAGAUAGUUGAGCCAGGGAUGAAUGUUGGUCGCGAAGGCUACACAAAUGGCGGAGCUCCAAACGGUACGCGCCAAUGAC
rnacentral:lncRNA from 1 species